AGAAAUUAAAGAAAUACAUUUUUCCAUCUUCUUCCUUCCUCACACCUGAACUCAGAAACCCUAAUUCUUCAGCCAAUUCCAAAAUUAGUCAUUCUUAUGUUGUUAAGAUCAAAUAAAGGUCAUGAGUUUAAUUAGCAAGUUGCUAAUUUAACCAACGCGAAGCAAAGACGAUGAGCUUCAUAUUCAUCAUCUUUUCUGAAGCUCCAUACUUGAAUCUCUUCUCCACUUUCGAAUCCCCUUUUUUCAACCAUCAAAUUCCAUUUUGUCAUCAAACAGUAAACUUCUCCACUUCCAAUUUUCCACUUCUUCAAACAAAGCAUUCUUUCUUCAAGAACAUCGUCCAAUAUCAUUACGUUUAUCCCCUUCUUGUUCUUAUUUUCUUGUUCGCUCAGUAACUCACUCUCUUCCUCUGUUGCAAAAUCGAACGACAGUUGUUUUUUGUUCAUCGACAGACGGCCAUGGUUUUUGUUUAAAUCGGUAUCAGAACAGAGUUUGCCAGUUGUAUUAGAAUAGACGCAGCCUCCGCCAUAGACAAGGGGAGUUCGGUUUCAGUAAUGGAUUGCUGUUUCUUGCCGGCGCCGGAGGAAGAUCCACGUCUUUUCCGAGCUAGGGUUGACGUGGUUGGAUGGCCUUGGCCAUGCCAUAGGCGGCCGCUGAUGCAAUGGCUCCGAUGAGGGCGGUUUGCACGGCGCUGGUGAAGGGUUUGUUGCCGGUGAAGUAACCCUUGGCAUAGCCAAAAACUAAGAGUGCUACCAAAGUUAAGGCAACAGAUGCAAGAACAGCCUCUGAGGCUUUGGGGAAAAACAUGUACGGAAUUAAGGGUACUAACCCUCCCAAUAUGUAGGAGAUGGCAAUGGUUAGGGCACUUUGUAUGGCUCUUUUUGGCUCUGGCUUUUCCAAUCCUAGCUCAAACCUAUAAUAAUAAAAAUAAAUUUGACCCA